rnacentral:rRNA from 1 species
GUUGGUGGUGUGAAUUGUCUGCUUAAUUGCGAUAACGAACGAGAUCUCAACCUCUAAAUAGGUGACUGUCACGCAUGUAUGUAGGGCAACACUCAGUUAGUGCUUCCGUUCUCUCUGUGUGGCGCCCGAGUGGCUGUGAAGCUUCUUAGAGGGACUAGGUACGUCUGCAGUACCUGGAGGAGUGAGUCAAUAGCAGGUC